CAAAACCUGUGUCUCAACUUUUGGCUCAAAAACUGCAGUCCUGCUGUCUGCAGUGGCUUUGUGAGUUGCCUUAGGGAAGAACCAAGCAGGGAGGACAGACCCUGCAGACCAGGCUGGGGUGAGGGUGUGGCUCUUGUCUCCUGGCCCCCACAUGUUCAAGAAGAAGGUGCUGGGGCCUCAUCUUGGCCCUUUGCCUCUUGCCUCUGCACUGUUCCCUUAGGAUGGAUCUGGGACAGAGCUAAUGGAGGCUCUUCUGGCGUGUCCUGAGGACUUUGGCUCAAUCUUGUUCUUCCCAGCUUCAUUUGCGGCUGCCCAGGGAAUAAUUCCAGGGAUAUAGUAAUGUCUGGUGUCUGGACGGUCUCCAUGGGAUUAAAAAAGUAGCUGGUUUGCAUUUCGGAGACAAAACAACCCUGCAGCACGGAGUCAAACACUGCUUCUUCGCGGGAGAUGCGUCCUGUCAGGUGAACACCAGCAAAUCAAAACCCAAUUCAGCAGAGGGAUGAUUUUCGCCUUCCGGAAGAUGAAAUCACGAAAGCUCAGAGACGGCGCGCACUCCGUAGAAAGCCCAAAUCAAAUUAUUCUGUGGCCUGUGUAGAUUUCCUGUGCCUGGCACCCAGCUGCCUGCAUACAGGAAGUGCUCAUUACAGGCACAGCAGCAGAUGUCAGCCCCAAAGUGUCCAUUUUACUAGCUGGUGUUUCAGCAUCUGUCACGGGGAUCAACAAAGCAUGACAGCCGCCAAUGUGCCUCCGUGUGGACUUUUGUGAUGCUGUAUUUUCUCUUGAGAGGGGCCCCUGAUUCUGGACAGAAUGCACUGGGUAAGUCUUUACGACUUCGUAGCCCCAGGCUCCUGGCCCAGGCAGGAUGAGGAAAGGAUGCUGCCCCAGGAUCGCCCGAAACGUUUGGUUUGUUUUGUGUGGCUGGACGUGGCCGAGUCCCUGCGGCCCCAGCAGCUCUCAGGCUUCCCUGCCCGGCUGCUGCCUCAGGGCUGCGCUGAGCUCAGGCCAGAGCAGCUUCCAGGGCCUCAUUUCAGUUGUUUUUAUCAUCUAUGAGUUAUCCAGUGUUUCCAAUAAAUCACAUUCCAGGGCAAGCAGUGCAGAGAUGUGGGCCCUUAUUUCCUCUCCCAGGCUGAUAACAAUGAACAAGUGAUUUCCUGUCCAAAGCUGGGUACUCCAGCGAAAUAAGAAGUCCUAUCUCCAGGAAAAUAACACUGUCUCUCUCUCAGCCCCAACUCCAGCACACCAAGCAUGGACCGUCUCUGGCCCUUGGGCAAGCUGGAGCAGCCUUUCAUUUCCUCUCUGCCUAUUCAUGCACGCCCCACCCAUCUCCCAGUCCAGGCUGUGAUCCUCACCACCCAGCAAGCAGGCGAGGCAGGGCUAGGAACCCAUUUUACAGGAUAGCUGUGAUUAGAACACGUGUGUAAAGCGCCUGUCAUGGCAGCGUCCUUCUCCUGGCGGCAAGUCUUCACUUGCAAAACAAGUCCUUUUAGGAACAGGCUUUGUGACAGCUGCUGCUAUCCAGUCAUCUUUAGAGCCCUGGAGUCCUCGCCAAGGGCACGGGCUCCCUUUGUGGUCCUGGAAUAAUGGGGCCUGCCUGGCACUCUCAGAUUGCGUGGGGAUCCGCUGGACUUAGGAUUCUGCCUAGAGAAUAAGUGGUUGUUCUGCUUACCUGGUAACAUGUGUACCCAGAUCCACACUAUCAUGGGCCCUCACAGCUUCCCCUGGAUAUAUGGCAGGAGGAAUGUGCUGCUCAUUCUUGAAAUUCACUUCCCCGGAAGACAUGGCAACCAUGAACACUGGAUCAGAGGCUCAUCUCACUGUUGUACUAUGUAGGCUGGUUGAUGUAUAGGUUGUCAGACAUUCUCAGUUGAACUGAACACACAUACUUGGGCUUUCUCUGAUCUGUUCAUUACCUCCUUGGUAUGUAUGGGGCAACUGUCAAGGGCAAGGUGUGUGUGGCAUACACGAUGUUUUGGAGGACUCGAGCCCAAAGACUGACACCCAAGGAGGUGACAUGCAUGUGAACACCCAGGAGUUUGAAGCUAGUGAAGACACCUCAAGAUGGCUCACUAGGAGUUUACCAGCCUCGCUUUGUGAAG
rnacentral:lncRNA from 1 species